rnacentral:rRNA from 1 species
CUGCUGCCUUCCGUAGGAGUCUGGUCCGUGUCUCAGUACCAGUGUGGGGGACCUUCCUCUCAGAACCCCUAGACAUCGUCGCCUUGGUGGGCCGUUACCCGCCAACAAGCUAAUGUCACGCAUGCCCAUCCGUCUCCGGAGUCGCCUCCUUUGGCCGAAAGAAGAUGCCUCCCCUCGGCCACAUGCGGUAUUAGGCCGGAUUUCUCCGGGUUAUCCCGCUGAAACGGGCAGGUUGCAUACGCGUUACUCACCCGUGCGCCGGUCG